GGGCUUGUGGUCUAGUGGUAUGAUUUUCCCUUAGCAUAGGAAUUGCAUCUUCUGCAAUUACUAGAGACGAUGGGAGAGGUCCGGGGUUCAAUUCCCCGCGAGUCCA